rnacentral:rRNA from 1 species
UACGGAGGGUGCAAGCGUUAAUCGGAAUUACUGGGCGUAAAGCGCGCGUAGGUGGUUUGUUAAGUCAGAUGUGAAAGCCCAGGGCUCAACCUUGGAACUGCAUUUGAAACUGGCAAGCUAGAGUACAGCAGAGGAUAGUGGAAUUUCAGGUGUAGCGGUGAAAUGCGUAGAGAUCUGAAGGAACACCAGUGGCGAAGGCGACUGUCUGGGCUGAUACUGACACUGAGGUGCGAAAGCGUGGGUAGCAAACAGG